GACGAACGCUGGCGGCGUGCUUAACACAUGCAAGUCGAACGAGUGGCGCACGGGUGAGUAUUACGUCGGUAACCUGCCCUCUGUUUGGGAUAAACCUUGGAAACGGGGUCCAAUAACGGCUCAGGGGGUUGGGCUCGCGGCCUAUCAGCGUGUUGGUGGUGUGAUGGCCUACCAAGGCGGUGACGGGUUGCCGGGCUGAGAGGGUGACCUGCAACAUAGGUACGGAGAGACGGCCCAGACUCCUAAGGGGGGGAGCAGUUGGGGAUAUUGCAUAAUGCCCGAAAGCCUGAUGCAGCGACGCUGCGGGGGGGAUGCGGGUUGUGGGGUUGUAAACCUCUUUCGCUAUCGAACGGGUAGUUGGAGAAGAAGCACCGGCUAACUACGUGCCAGCAGCCGCGGUAAUUC
rnacentral:rRNA from 1 species